rnacentral:rRNA from 1 species
GAUGAACGCUGGCGGCGUGCCUAAUACAUGCAAGUCGAGCGAAUGGAUUGAGAGCUUGCUCUUAUGAAGUUAGCGGCGGACGGGUGAGUAACACGUGGGUAACCUGCCCAUAAGACUGGGAUAACUCCGGGAAACCGGGGCUAAUACCGGAUAACAUUUUGAACCGCAUGGUUCGAAAUUGAAAGGCGGCUUCGGCUGUCACUUAUGGAUGGACCCGCGUCGCAUUAGCUAGUUGGUGAGGUAACGGCUCACCAAGGCAACGAUGCGUAGCCGACCUGAGAGGGGGAACGGCCACACUGGGACUGAGACACGGCCCCGACUCCUACGGGAGGCAGCAGUAGGGAAUCGUCCGCAAUGGACGAAAGUCUGACGUAGCAACGCCGCGUGAGUGAUGAAGGCUUUCGGGUCGUAAAACUCUGUUGUUAGGGAAGAACAAGUGCUAGUUGAAUAAGCUGGCACCUUGACGGUACCUAACCAGAAAGCCACGGCUAACUACGUGCCAGCCGCCGCAGUAA